GGGGCCGACCUGGUUUCGACGUGAAUUGCAAAGCAAGUAGGGCAUACCGAGGACCCGUCACCUCGUAAAUCAAUGGGAAAAAAGUAAACGCAAACGACGAACGUUUCGCUCUAGCCGCCUAAUCCCGGCUGGACGCUGCACUGAUUGGCCUCUGGGUCAGGUGGGGUAACUCACAGCAGCGUCAUUCACAGAGGCUCGCUCCCCCUUGGGUUGCUUAAGGGUGAGCUAAAUCUAAGGCAACUGGUUGUGUGUCGGCCUGCUGAUUGGCUAAGCACACAAUAAGAUUCAAAUAAACCAGCUAAGUAUGUAGAACUAUUUGUAGAGGAUUGACGGACGCGGGUUCGAUUCCCGCCGGCUCCACCA
rnacentral:tmRNA from 1 species